rnacentral:misc_RNA from 1 species
UAUACCAUAUACAUUACUGCUUGCUGAUGUAUAACCUCCUGGCCUUAGCAUUUGACUUGUGCUGAUAGCAUACCGCUUCUCUUCUUCAUAAUAAGAGUUGAAACCUAAUAUUUCCUUUAUUCCUUCAAAAGUCGGCAUGCUUCCAGGAGGAGGAAUCCGACCUCCUUUAAUGGCAGUUAAUGCAUCCUGCAUCGCUUGUAUAGAUACCCCGAUCAAGGAAAGAGGGUAAGCCACAAGUUUAUAUCCAACUUCCUCAAGUUCCAAAGGAUUGAGUAUUGGAGUUUUCCCCCCUCCUUCAAGCAUAUUGGCCAUUUUUGGAACUAGAGGAGAGAUUUCACAGAAAGACUUCAUCUCUUCUCUUGAAGCUAGUGCAUCGAUAAAAAGAACAUCAGCUCCAGCAUCAGCAAAAGCUCUUGACCUCCAAAGUG